rnacentral:rRNA from 1 species
CAGUCGCCGCGGUAAUACGUAGGUCCCGAGCGUUGUCCGGAUUUAUUGGGCGUAAAGCGAGCGCAGGCGGUUAGAUAAGUCUGAUGUGAAAGCCCCCGGCUCAACCGGGGAGGGUCAUUGGAAACUGGGAAACUUGAGUGCAGAAGAGGAGAGUGGAAUUCCACGUGUAGCGGUGAAAUGCGUGGAGAUGUGGAGGAACACCAGUGGCGAAGGCGACUCUCUGGUCUGUAACUGACGCUGAGGAGCGAAAGCGUGGGGAGCGAACAGGAUUAGAUACCCCUGUAGUCCCUGUCUCUUAUAC